rnacentral:rRNA from 1 species
UACGAAUGGGGCAAGCGUUGUUCGGAAUCACUGGGCUUAAAGCGUAUGCAGGUGGACUUACAAGUCAGAAGUGAAAGCCCCGGGCUUAACCCGGGAAUUGCUUUUGAAACUGUCAGUCUAGAAUCCCGGAGAGGUUAACAGAAUUCCGAGUGUAGAGGUGAAAUUCGCAGAUAUUCGGAGGAAUACCAGUGGCGCAAGCGGUUAACUGGACGGG